rnacentral:lncRNA from 1 species
UCUUCUUCUCGAUCUUCAGUUCUUCACUAUACAAUGUCGUCGUCAAGACCUGUACCUGUAGAAAUGACCCCCGAUGAAAUCGAAAAGAGGCUUCAAGACUGUCCACCAGAUCUUAUCAGAUACGAUCGAUUAAUGAGAGGUAGAUCACCUGUGAAAUAUGAAUUUGUAGACAGUGAGUGGAUUGGAAAACCUGGUAUCAAGUUAGAACGUUAUUCGGAUGAAAAGAUUGCUGCACUGGGCAGGGUAGUCAUACCCAUGUUAUCUUCAGGUUUUAGCUUAGAAGCAGAAAGAUGUGCAUCGAUUUUUGUUCUGGCUUAUCAUCUUAAAGCACCAGGUAGCAGAUUCAGAUCUUUUAUCUUCAACUCCGAUGAAAGUCUACAAGUGACGUCAGAUCAAC